CACCAUGGCGGGCCGGGCGGGGCAGCCAAUAGGCUGGCCGGUUGUUCGUCUGCGAGCCGGUAUUGCGACCCCCGCUGUCUGGCCCGCCACCCUC
rnacentral:antisense_RNA from 1 species